rnacentral:rRNA from 1 species
AGUGAACGUUGGCGGCGUGGAUUAGGCAUGCAAGUCGAGCGAGAACCGUAGCAAUACGGGGACAGUGGCGAAAGGGACAGUAAUGUGUAGGUACCUACCUCCGGGUUCGGGAUAGCUGCGGGAAACUGCAGGUAAUACCGAAUAACGUCUCCGGACCAAAGGUGUGAUUCCACCUGGAGAGGGGCCUGCAUCCUAUUAGCUUGUUGGCGGGGUAACGGCCCACCAAGGCGACGAUGGGUAGCGGGUGUGAGAGCACGACCCGCGUCAUUGGGACUGAGACACUGCCCAGACACCUACGGGUGGCUGCAGUCGGGAAUCUUCGGCAAUGGGCGCAAGCCUGACCGGGCGACGCCGCGUGCGGGAUGAAGGCCUUCGGGUUGUAAACCGCUGUCGUAGAGGAGGAAAUGCAGGGGGGUUCUCCCCUCUGUUUGACCUAUUCUAGGAGGAAGUACGGGCUAAGUUCGUGCCAGCCGCCGCGGUAA